UACGGAGGGUGCGAGCGUUGUCCGGAAUCACUGGGCGUAAAGGGCGCGUAGGCGGCAUGCCAAGCGUGUGGUGAAAGCCCGGGGCUCAACCCCGGGUCGGCCGUGCGGACUGGCGUGCUCGAGCACUGUAGGGGCGGGUGGAAUUCCGGGUGUAGCGGUGGAAUGCGUAGAGAUCCGGAAGAACACCGGUGGCGAAGGCGGCCUGCUGGGCAGUGGCUGACGCUGAGGCGCGACAGCGUGGGGAGCAAACAGG
rnacentral:rRNA from 1 species